rfam:Rhynchosporium commune strain TK7 genome assembly, contig: RCO7_scaffold004
GGCUGCUUGGCGCAAUGGUAGCGCGCGGUCCUCCUACUGCUGAGAGGCUGUAAGACUGAGGUUGGGGGUUCGAGUCCCCUGGUGGUCG